UACAGAGGGGGCAAGCGUUGUUCGGAAUUACUGGGCGUAAAGGGCGCGUAGGCGGCCCUCUAAGUCAGACGUGAAAUCCCUCGGCUCAACCGGGGAACUGCGUCUGAUACUGGAUGGCUUGAGUUUGGGAGAGGGAUGCGGAAUUCCAGGUGUAGCGGUGAAAUGCGUAGAUAUCUGGAGGAACACCGGUGGCGAAGGCGGCAUCCUGGACCAACACUGACGCUGAGUGAGCGAAAGCCAGGGGAGCAAACGGG
rnacentral:rRNA from 1 species